CCAUGGAGCUUUACUCCAGCUUGAUACUGGGACCCGGUGCUGUAUGUACAGGAUAGGUGGGAGGCUUUGAGAUUAGGACGCCAGUCUUAAUGGAGCCGGUGUUGGGAUACCACCCUUGCAGUACUGGGUUUCUAACCGAGAUCAGUGAAGCCUGAUCCGGGACAAUGUCUGGCGGGGAGUUUGACUGGGGCGGUCGCCUCCGAAAGGGUAUCGGAGGCGCUCAAAGGUUCCCUCAGAAUGGUCGGAAACCAUUCGGAGAGCGCAAAGGCAGAAGGGAGCCUGACUGCGACACCGACGGCUGGAGCAGGUACGAAAGUAGGACUUAGUGAUCCGGUGGUAUAAAGUGGGAUUGCCAUCGCUCAACGGAUAAAAGCUACCCUGGGGAUAACAGGCUUAUCACUCCCAAGAGUUCACAUCGACGGAGUGGUUUGGCACCUCGAUGUCGGCUCAUCGCAUCCUGGGGCUGAAUUCGGUCCCAAGGGUUGGGCUGUUCGCCCAUUAAAGUGGUACGCGAGCUGGGUUCAGAACGUCGUGAGACAGUUCGGUCCCUAUCCGGCGCAGGCGCAGGAUAUCUGAGAGGAGCUGUCCUUAGUACGAGAGGACCGGGAUGGACGGACCGCCGGUGCACCUGUUGGCGACCAACGCCACGGCAGGGUAGCCGAGUCCGGCAGGGAUAAACGCUGAAGGCAUCUAAGCGUGAAGCCCCCCUCAAGAUGAGAUAUCCCAGGAGAGAUCCGAAAGACCCCUUUGAGAGUAAGAGGUAGAUAGGCAUGAGGUGUGAGCACAGUAAUGUGUUUAGCUGACAUGUACUAAUCGGUCAGGGGCUUAACCAA
rnacentral:ncRNA from 1 species